CCGGGGGCAACCCGCCCGCGAUUCCUUCCGCGUUACCCCGGCGCCCGGUUUGCAGGCUUACGCACGGGUCUCCUGAAAAAGGCGCGCGUCGCCGACGCGCAUCUGUCGAUGAAACGACGCGCACCAAACGUCGCAACGACGCUUCGCGCGGCCGACGAUAAUAACGCGAUAAACGCACGCUCGCUCGAGGAUCACGCGAACCGCGCGACGCGACGGGUCGACGAGCACUGGACGGUGGCCGCGGCCCCACCACCCGGUGGUCCCCCAUCGUCGGCCGGCGACGAAUGUAAACACCGUGACAGCUGAUCGCCCUGCUCGGAAGUGCACGCUUCGAUUCUACGGCGACAACCUGCUACGCUCACCGUGCACCGAGCGUCAUCGUGAGCACAGGCGGGCUGGGUAUAGCCGUUUCGACAGAAGACGCGGCAAAUACACUGAGAGUACAAAAGAGUUCGAUAACAAUUACCAAAGAUUUAGGGAAAGGAUUUCAGCUGAAUGGAUUUGCUUACAGCAACAGCACGGGCGCAGCGAGUUGUCGCCGUGGAAUUGGUCGGAAUCCCAAGAAUUUCGCUGCAGCUUAAUCUCAAAGGACACCAGCCGCAUACAGACAUCUCGACUCACCUAUAUUGUCAACCGAGGAACGCAUGGAUGGGUGAAUUAUCUGAUGGAGCUGGGCAUAAGUAUUUUAAACGGUGAAAACAGGGAGUUCGUACCUGAUGUUAUUUUUACACAGUCAGUCGAAGACAUUUCAGACCCUUUGAUCGGGAAGCUGGCCGAGUUAUAUAUAACACAUAAUAGGAUGCGGAUGUAAGAAUUUUACCAAAUUUUGCUUUUCCUUAUAAAUAAUAUUAUUAUUAGAAUCAUUGUUCCUUGAAAUUAAAAUAUGGUGUGCUAUAAAACGGAUAAAUUCUGUUGACAGUUCGAGCAAAUAUAUACAUUUGCUGAAACCGACAGUAUAUACAAGAACAUUGUAUCUAUCAUUGUAUGUAAUAUACAAACGCUCUACCUUUGUGAGGAACGAAUAAAAUUUAUACAUAUGUAACGGUACUA